CUAUCUUUGCCGUGCAUUGGUUCGCAACCUCUUCUUAUUCGGAAGAAUGCGAUUAAAAGGGAAUCAGGUGUAAAUCCUGAACAGUCCCGCUGCUGUAAGUUCCAAUGAAUUAUGUUAUGAACAACUACCACUUUAGCCACUGGGGAAAUCCUGGGAAGGCGUUCGUAACAGGAACAAGUCAGAAGACCUGCCAUGCUAUCUUUUUUCAU
rnacentral:ncRNA from 2 species